GGUGUAGCGGUGGAAUGCGCAGAUAUCAGGAGGAACACCGAUGGCGAAGGCAGGUCUCUGGGCUGUAACUGACGCUGAGGAGCGAAAGCAUGGGGAGCGAACAGGAUUAGAUACCCUGGUAGUCCAUGCCGUAAACGUUGGGCACUAGGUGUGGGACCGCGCCGCAGCUAACGCAUUAAGUGCCCCGCCUGGGGAGUACGGCCGCAAGGCUAAAACCCAAAGGAAUUGACGGGGGCCCGCACAAGCGGCGGAGCAUGCGGAUUAAUUCGAUGCAACGCGAAGAACCUUACCAAGGCUUGACAUGCAGGUGGUGCAUGGUUGUCGUCAGCUCGUGUCGUGAGAUGUUGGGUUAAGUCCCGCAACGAGCGCAACCCUCGUUCCAUGUUGCGACUCAUGGGAGACUGCCGGGGUCAACUCGGAGGAAGGUGGGGACGACGUCAAAUCAUCAUGCCCCUUAUGUCUUGGGCUUCACGCAUGCUACAAUGGCCGGUACAAUGGGUUGCGAUACUGUGAGGUGGAGCUAAUCCCAAAAAGCCGGUCUCAGUUCGGAUUGGGGUCUGCAACUCGACCCCAUGAAGUCGGAGUCGCUAGUAAUCGCAGAUCAGCACGCUGCGGUGAAUACGUUCCCGG
rnacentral:rRNA from 1 species